rnacentral:lncRNA from 1 species
UGCAAGGUAAACAAUAAGUGCUCUCUUUUAUACAAUAUGCAUUGCAUCUGGACCUUAAACAUUUAAAAAUGGUCAGUGAAACUUCUGUGAACAUGAAGAAAUUAUUAAAAAAGGCAUUUAAAUGAAAUUUGCUAAGUUGUGAUUUUUACGGUUGGAACCAAAGUUAUUCAAGUAGUAAAAGAAAAAAGAGAAAGAAAGAAAAGGAAAUCUCCCAUAAUAUUUUUCUGCAUCUGUUUGCUUUGACUGAGUAGGCGUUUUGUCAUUAUUGUGUAUAUGAGAUGUACUUGUAUCGUUCAUAAUAUAUUUUUUUUAUUAUGUGUAGAAAGAUUUUAAAAACUUAACUAACGUGCAGCAAUUUCCAGUGAACCUGUACUUGGACAUCAGGUAGUGAGUCUAUUUGUGGUCACUAGCACUGUCUCCUAAACUUAUAAGAGGUCUGAAGCUAUCCUUUGAUUUUUGCCAGUGCUAUUAACUUAUGUAGACCCGUUAAAAAGCAGAGCAACACAAUUAUAGUUAUCCUACUGAGCCAUGGAUUCUGAGCUUCAUUUUAAAAGUGAAAGCCAAGUUGGUGUAUGUAAAGGAUUUCCAUGUAGCUGUGGUGCUAGUUAUUACUGGCUACAUUAUAUGCUAAGUGUAUUUGUGUUCCCCAAGUGUACAAGCCUUCUAUCAAAAGUAUGUUCUAUAACUCAUAUAUUCAAGGUGUAGGGUAUGAAAAUGCAAAGCUUAGGAGAGCACUUUACUAAGCUGGUGUCCUCCCAACUGAAAUUGUUUGUAACGAUAGUCUUUUACAGGUUUUCAUUUAAAGAUGUUCGUGUGCUUUUAAUUGACAACUAACUUCUUGCUGCUGUAUAGUAAAAUAUUAAUAUAUUUUUAUCAUUAAACUGCUGCAUGACUAUCAUCUUUGAGUGAAGAGAAAAUGUUAUAAAAAAAGAUGCCUUAAACAGUACAUUUUGGUUUGGAAUUCUGUAGAAAGUAUUUUGGUUUUAAAAAAAUGGAUCUUGUCUGACAUAAAGAGUUCUGGGGAUGGAAUUGUUUUCUUGGCAAAUCCAGCCAUAUAGAUCUAACUGCUGUAUGUAGAAGACACCACCUGUAGGAGCUGGAAGGUAUCAGUGCUUCUCACAUUGUAAAGCAUUGGCCUAGGAAGGUGAAACAGUUGUCUUUGAAGGAUUUUUUUUUUCUGCUGGUUCUUUGGGUUUUGAUUUGGUAUUUUUAAGCUCCCUGGUUGAGUGUGUUGUCUUUGAGAUCUACUGUAUGUGUUGAAUAACAAGCUAUUUCCAUUGUACUGUGCAUUUUCCCAUUAAAUUGUUUGCUUUUAAUAUUCAUACAAUGUUUAAUAUGAGGUGACCGUACAAUAGUUAGGAGUUUCUUUACUUACAAAAUCACUGGAAAUGAUUAAAUUGCUUUUCCCCUUCCCCCAAGGUGCAUUUUUCUUAUUUCCAUAUAGUAAAGUUGAGCUUUUACAGUGCAUAAUGUGACAUUUGGAAUGCUUAUCAACUGCAUGUAAACAUUAAUAACCUGCACUUUUUUGUCUUAAGGUUUGUUGAGCUGUUUUGUUCACUGUACUUUAACUGUGAUAUGGAAAAGACUGCAUUCUCUGUGCUGUUACUAGUUAGGAAAGAGAAUUGCUUUGAUUUUGUCUCUUGUUUACUAUAGCUUUUUAAAGUUAAGCCUUGUACUACAGGUUGUUGGAGUACUCCUAGAUCAGUGUUUCAUAGUAGCCAGCAAUAAGUAGUGCAAGUCAACAAAAAACACAGCAAACUUAGGCAAAGUGUCCUUUCUUUGAGAUGUGAGUUCUUUCAUGAGGUUUUCUUUAGGGUCCGAGUUACCUAAAGUGAAGCCUUUCUUAGCUAUAGACUUCAGAUUCUGCUUGGAAUCCUACCGGAUCAAGAAGCACAUGUAUUGUGCAAUUGUCUUUACACUAUAACAGUUAAACACAAUCUUACUCAGAUUUUGAAACCAGUGUCUGAAUUAUGGUCAGUGGGUUUAAAAAGAAAUCCACAUGCAGAUCUUUUAAGACUUCUUAAGACGUGAUCAUAGAAAAGACAAAUGACUGUAAAGAUGCUCUUUUUUUGCAUCUCACUUUACCUCCCCAAGUCCCCUCCCAACCUUUCCUUCUCCCCUCUCCUGUUUCAUCCUUUUCCCACCCUUCCCCCCAGGUGCUCGGUACUUUACCAAGGUUCUAUUUCUCAGUGUUUUAUGUUGGAGUUUUUCCUUGUUUUUAUUUUACUAGUUGGUAAACCCUGUUUGUGCUGAAACAAAAAAGGAAAUGGUAUAUUUGACCAUAUGUUUUAUUCAUAGAAGACAGUAUGAUCAAAUGUGCCAAAAACAAGUAAACAAAACUUAAUUCAUGACAAGUAUGCCUUAUUUUUAAUGAUCUGCUUUGUCUUACAAUUAAGGUCCAAGAACUUGGUUAAACUGUAUUAUUUGCCUAAGUAUAAAAGAACACUUGAAAUGCAUUGCGUUCUUUAAAAUGAGAGACAUUGUCAAGUAAUUUAAUCCAGAGAUCAGCCACCAGAUUUGAAAUGCCCAUGUAAGUGUGUGUGCUUUAGUGUUGUUCGUUUUUUUGGGUUUUUUUGUUUUUUCUUUUAAGUCACCAAAUCUUUUUCUAAGUUACUUUUUAUUUGUGCCUCCUAUUUAUCAUGCUGAUGUUGGAAACAGCAGUCAUCCAGCCACAGAGGGAGCUAAAGUUAACUAACCAGAACUGUAGAAAUCAUUAUACAUGCCUUUGACAACAAAGGAAGUUCAUAAGAAAAGCCAUGUUGGCUUUUCCUCCACUAGAUACAGAUUGGAGGUAGAUGAAUAUUUGCCAAAUGGAAAAAAAGACAAUGUGAGUCAGGAAAGACAAACUUUUCCAGCUUCUCAAAAGCCAUGGAGAGUAGAAACCAAAACCAACAGGGAAAUAAAAAACCUUGAAAGUCUCACUUUCUAGUUGUCCCAUUCAGGGGUUGAAAUUUGACUCAAAGUGAAAAAUGUAUCAAUGUGUUUUUUAGGUCUUCACAUGUAGAGAUGGAUAACUAUUCCAGUUUGAUUUUUCAGGUAAUGGAGAAAGCUGCUAGUAAUUUUAACCCCUGCCUAAAGAAGAUAAUUUCAUUUGGGAGCAAAUACUUGUUGCCUUGAAAAAUAGCACUGUAAUAGCCUAUGAUAAUUAGUUAUAGAAUAACCUUUAUCCCUUUUAAACUAUGCAAAUUAUUAAAUAAGUGUAAAUUAGGACUCAAAGAUAGUUGAUUAUAUUGCAAUCAGAUGGCAUUCACAAACUUAACUGGAGCAUAUACAAAUAAAAUCUAUUAGUCUAAGAGUUUUGUAUGCUAACAGAAAAAUAUAAUUUAGCUACCUAUUCUAAAAAUGGUGAAUAUUAUUAAUAUUGUACAAUAGGACUGGGAAGACUGCCUCCUUUUUUGAAGAGAGAGAUUAAGGAUUUUUAUAAUUGUUUUUCAUCAAAUUUUAAUAUUUUUGUCAAAUUUUUAGGUAUUUAAUUUGUAAAACAGUUUGCUUUGUACUGGCAUACAGAAAAUAGGGUAUUGAUUUUAAACUUUUUGAAGCCAAGUGAUCAAGUACAUUUGUAAUAAAAGUCAAUGGAUCUAU